UCUCAGGUGGCUGACUUGGCAGAGCGGGGCGUGAAGGAAGGAAGAGGCUGUGGGACAAGGAGCCGCUGGCGUUUACAGUAGUCAAGAAGUCUCCAGAGGUUGUGACUCUAACCACAAGUUGCUUAACAACACUGUAUGAUCCUUCUCCUUCACAUCCAGCCCCAGCCACGCUGGUAAAUCCCUCUCUGAGUCGAGAGGGGGGAUGCAGGUGCAGGGUGGCGGUGUUGGGCAAAGGAGCAGCAGGAGGACUGGCAGAAGGGGUGUUUCACUGCCCCCUGAAAUUGCAGGAGUCGUGAUGAGGAAAGACAGCUCCUGGCUCAGGUCUCAGUCCUGGAUAGGAGAAGGCUGGCCCAGCAGUUGAUCAGCACCCAGGAGUCACACGGAUUGCCAACACCCCCGAGCAGCCCCCGCUCAGGCUGGAUUUCCACUCUGCUUAAAUGACUUCUGCCCAGGGACUCAGCCUCCAAAAAACCCCAAAAACAAGUGCUGGACACCAGAUACACCAGAUACAAGCUCGUGGUGGGUGGUGUUUUGCAGGACCCCUCCCUGCUGAUGGACUGCACAUUUGUUCCUCUGUGGCUGGAUGGAGGGACAGAAGGUUACAGGAAAGGCACAAUACAGCACGAUACAGAAUGAGCCAAAAUGUCAGUGCUAAACAGGCACAACAGAGAGCCAAAGAGAGGUGGGAAUGGAGCAGAAAGAUCAGAAUUAUGGACUAAUUAAUGAACCAGCAGUACUGGAAAUGGCAGCAAGCCGUCAGACCUUCGUCUCUUACCAGGAACAAUGAAAAUAUCUUAAUUUCUGGCGAUUUUGAUGGAAAUUGAGUUAUGCAACAUUGAUAUUGUUCACAGUGAUUUAAUUAAGAGUCUGUCAGCCUAAUUAACCUGGUAUUUAGCCUUUUAUAGGAGACAGUUAUAAAAAUGUGCCCUUCACUAAAGCCCAGCAUUCUAGAAAUGGCCCCAGUCCUAGAAGGGUCACCCUUUUGGCACAGCAGGCUCUUGAGACCAUCCCACUAAGGUGCUAAGACACCUCUGAAAAGUUUCCAAGUUCAUGCUGCAUUCCUUGCCUAGACAGCCCUCUCCUUGCAGUUUGUGGGAAUCUGGGGUGUCUGAGGAAUGCAGAGUCAGGCAUCCUAGCAGCAUCCCAUCACUGAAAUGAUUUCACAGAGAAUUAAUCCCCAAUCCUGACACUUCUUGUCGUGUGAGAUUCAAAUCUCUGCCUUUCCAUGCUCAUUGCAGCUCAGCAAAUGCAAAGACUAGACAAUGGACUUGCACCACUCUGAACAUUUUGGUUUCUGGGCUGGAUGGUGACAGAAGCAGUUCACUAUGUGGAGGAGCAGGCUCCUCUGGAUGUCAGCAAGAGCCUAUGGGUAGAGCAUGCCACAAACCUCAGCUGCUGUCAUGUACAGCCCUAUUCACUGGGGCCACAGCGCCUCUAGCACUGCCUCCUGCAGCUGUGGGACAGGCCUUUCUCCUCCUUGCCUUGUGGCAGCAAGCACACACCAGCCUGGAGGCACCAGGGAAAUCAGUCAGGUCUCUAGUGGGCUCUCUCGGAGGGUAUUAUAGAUAAGAUUCAAAUAGAGGCUGAAAAAUUAAUAUAAAUGAGAGCAACAACCAAUACUCCCAGAAAAUCCCAUGUUCUGCAACUGCUAUUGCUUCAUCAGUGACAGGAAAGAGCAGUGUUCUAAAAUAGAAGUUCACUUAAUUGAAUUUCCCUUAAGGCACAGAAAAUAAGCUUCCAUGAAGUGGUAUCAAUUGUUCGACAAUAACAUGUUCUCCCAGCUGAAAACUGGGUUAGGAAUUUGUAUUGUGUUUUCACAAAACAGAAUUCCUAGCCCAGUUUCUUCCUCCUCCUUGAGAUAACCAGGCAGAUUCCACCUCAGUGAUCACAGAGUCAGACUAUGUGGGUCAGUCAGUGCACAGCCAAUGUCCAGCUUCUCCACACUCCUCCUAACAGAGCCUGCUGGAUCCACCACGGGGCUUUAGAUGCACGAGGCCAUUAAAGGAGCUCUUUGCUUAAACACCUUUGAAUUCAAGAGGUUUUUUUGUAAGUACCUCUGCAUCUUUAUCCUCUGUGCUGGGGCAUGAGGGUCACGACUGCGUCAAGCCCAGGCGAGGUCAGCUGCACACAGGACUCACAUCCUUGUCCUUCCUGGGUUAGGGGCAGGCAGACACCUCAGGGUGCUGAAAAAUACAAAGGAGCACUCAAAAGCUACAGAGCAAUGAGGACUCACCUUUUUCUGGUAACACAGAAAGCGUUAACAACCAACACUCACGGAUUUACGUGUGAAAUAUUAUCUUUCCGAAAGUUUGUCAUAAAUGUGGCUCAGAACGCAGGGAUGGCCACGCUUUCCAAAUGUGUGCAGCAGGAAGAAUGUUUCCUAGGGAAUAAGGUCAAAAUAUUAGCAUUCAACUGAAUCUGUAUGGGCCAAAUUAAUGAAGUUACUGCUCCAUCACAGCCUUCCAUAGGUGAAACCUGAGAAAGCGAUUGUAUCAACAGCACAUCAAUCCAUGGCACUGGUCAGCAGGACAGAAAAACCAGCCUCCAGUUUCAAAGUUUCGUUCAGCUUUGGCACAGAAAGGUUAACUGGUGUUUAAGCAAUGCUUCUGAGCAGAUAAUGUUAAUUAAAUGUUUGCAUUCAAAUC